GUGAGCUGGCGGACGGCUUCGGGUGCCUAGCACCUGAGGAAACUCCGCCCACCACGCUGAACUGUAGCGCUCGUAAAGGGCGUGAGGCGAGAGCCUUGGCUCCGGAACAGAAACGAAACGUCCAUCCGUAAGAUGGCGAUGAGACGUGUUAAGUCGUCGAGGAUGCGGUUGGGAGCGGUGAAACGGCCGACCUGCAGGGUGAAAGGGCAAAUAGGCGUCUGUGAAUUCUGCGAGAGACGCGGGUAGCCCGUUUAGCCGAAUGCCGUCUUUGAACAGAAGGCGGGUUACGUCCAGCACAC
rnacentral:RNase_P_RNA from 1 species